AACGCAGCUUGCACUUCCUGGUAUUCCAGGGAGUAUACCUGUUUGAGUGUAAUGAAACUUUUCUCAAACUUUUGUUGUAACGAAGUUUGGAUUGAUGGAGUUUAUGCUGUAUUCUGUAUAGCUACUCUUGAAUGCAUUUAACCCAAGAAUGUGAAGAAAGAAAACAAAAGGGGGGGCUUGAUAAACACUUAUUUGUCGGCCUUUUUUGCGUUUGUCUUUCUUAAUACUUAUGUUGACCUCAGAUCAGGUAGGACUACCCGCUGAACUUAA
rnacentral:misc_RNA from 1 species